GACGAACGCUGGCGGCGUGCUUAACACAUGCAAGUCGAACGGAAAGGCCCUGCUUUUGUGGGGUGCUCGAGUGGCGAACGGGUGAGUAACACGUGAGUAACCUGCUCUUGACUUUGGGAUAACUUCAGGAAACUGGGGCUAAUACCGGAUAGGAGCUCCUGCUGCAUGGUGGGGGUUGGAAAGUUUCGGCGGUUGGGGAUGGACUCGCGGCUUAUCAGCUUGUUGGUGGGGUAGUGGCUGACCAAGGCUUUGACGGGUAGCCGGCCUGAGAGGGUGACCGGCGACAUUGGGACUGAGAUACGGCCCAGACUCCUACGGGAGACAGCAGUGGGGAAUAUUGUACAAUGGGCGGAAGCCUGAUGCAGAAACGCCGCGUGCGGGAUGACGGCCUUCGGGUUGUAAACCGCUUUCGCCUGUGACGAAGCGUGAGUGACGGUAAUGGGUAAAGAAGCACCGGCUAACUACGUG
rnacentral:rRNA from 1 species